rnacentral:rRNA from 1 species
UGGGGAAUAUUGCACAAUGGGCGCAAGCCUGAUGCAGCCAUGCCGCGUGUAUGAAGAAGGCCUUCGGGUUGUAAAGUACUUUCAGCGGGGAGGAAGGCGAUAAGGUUAAUAACCUCAUCGAUUGACGUUACCCGCAGAAGAAGCACCGGCUAACUCCGUGCCAGCAGCCGCGGUAAUACGGAGGGUGCAAGCGUUAAUCGGAAUUACUGGGCGUAAAGCGCACGCAGGCGGUCUGUCAAGUCGGAUGUGAAAUCCCCGGGCUCAACCUGGGAACUGCAUUCGAAACUGGCAGGCUAGAGUCUUGUAGAGGGGGGUAGAAUUCCAGGUGUAGCGAUGAAAUGCGUAGAGAUCUGGAGGAAUACCGGUGGCGAAGGCGGCCCCCUGGACAAAGACUGACGCUCAGGUGCGAAAGCGUGGGGAGCAAACAGG